rnacentral:lncRNA from 1 species
CCUCCCUCCUGCCUCCCUUGCAGCCCCCUGAUCUGUGAGGCCAACAGCAGCACCAUGAGGGAGAACUUCGAUGCCCUGCUGGCCCUGGGUGUUCCCAUCGCCAAACCGGAGCCGGUGCCGCAGGCGGAGGAGCCGUGUGCCGGGGCACAGCUGGAGGACGGCGAGGCACCGGGCUGUGCCGGCUCAGCGAGGCUGCUGGUACCCAAGGAGGAGGUGCUGCCGGAGGGCGAUGCCGAUGGUGGCGGUGCAACGGGUGCCACGCAAGGGCCGGAGCUCGGCUGCUCAGAGGACUGGCUGGUACGGAAGGUGAAGGUAGAGGAAGAGGAUGAGGAGUGGGUGGCCGGGCUGGCCACCGAGACCCUGUUGGCGGGGCAGCCCCGGGCAGCGCCUGCAAGCCGGAGCCGAUGGAGGAGCCGGAGCUGCCGGAGGAGCCGGGGGAGCUGGGCUACGGCACGCUGCCCGCCUUCGCGUGGCCGCUGCUGGGCG